rnacentral:rRNA from 1 species
UCGAGCGAGAACCCCGCAAGGGGGGACAGCGGCAAACGGGGUAGUAAUGUGUCGGAACGUGCCCUCUGGACGGGGAUAGCGGCGGGAAACUGCCGGUAAUACCCGAUGAACUCGGACUCUGUGAUGGAGACCGAGCAAAGGUGUGAUUCCGCCGGAGGAGCGGCCGACAUGGUAUUAGCUAGUUGGCGGGGUAACGGCCCACCAAGGCUGUGAUGCCUAGGGGAUGUGAGAGCACGAUCCCCACCAUUGGGACUGAGACACUGCCCAGACACCUACGGGUGGCUGCAGUCGAGAAUCUUCGUCAAUGGGCGAAAGCCUGAACGAGCGACGCCGCGUGCGGGAUGAAGGCCCUUGGGUUGUAAACCGCUGUCGAGGGGGAUGAAGGCAUUCAGGUCCUCCUGAAUGUUUGACAGAGCCCUGGAGGAAGCACGGGCUAAGUUCGUGCCAGCAGCCGCGGUAAUACGAACUGUGCGAACGUUAUUCGGAAUCACUGGGCUUACAGGGUGCGUAGGCGGCUAUUCAGGUCAGGUGUGAAAGCCCUCGGCUCAACCGAGGAACUGCGCUUGAAACCGGAUGGCUCGAGUCAACUAGAGGUGCACGGAACUUCCAGUGGAGCGGUGAAAUGUGUUGAUAUUGGAAGGAACACCGGAGGCGAAAGCGGUGCACUGGGGUUGGUCUGACGCUGAGGCACGAAAGCCA